UACGAAGGGGGCUAGCGUUGCUCGGAAUCACUGGGCGUAAAGCGCACGUAGGCGGAUUGUUAAGUCAGGGGUGAAAUCCUGGAGCUCAACUCCAGAACUGCCUUUGAUACUGGCGAUCUUGAGUCCGGGAGAGGUGAGUGGAACUGCGAGUGUAGAGGUGAAAUUCGUAGAUAUCUGGAGGAACACCGGUGGCGAAGGCGACAUCCUGGACCGGUAUUGACGCUGAGGCGCGAAAGCCAGGGGAGCAAACGGG
rnacentral:rRNA from 1 species